UACGUAGGGGGCAAGUGUUGUCCGGAUUUAUUGGGCGUAAAGAGCGUGUAGGCGGCCAGGUAGGUCUGCUGUGAAAACUCGAGGCUUAACCUCGAGCUGUCGGCGGAAACCAUCUGGCUAGAGUCCGGAAGAGGAGAAUGGAAUUCCCGGUGUAGCGGUGAAAUGCGCAGAUAUCGGGAAGAACACCCGUGGCGAAGGCGGUUCUCUGGGACGGUACUGACGCUGAGACGCGAAAGCGUGGGGAGCGAACAGG
rnacentral:rRNA from 1 species